AUUAAGUCAUUGUUGAUAUUUGAUUUGAAUCAAUAAUCAUAAAAAUUUAUAGUUAAAUUAUUAUAUAAUAUAUAUUAAACGUAUUCGUAAAGAUCCCAGAAACAUCAAUCCAGCAAAUAAAAGAAAUUCGUGAGAUAUAACUACAUUAUUUCAUUAUUAAUACCCUGUUUUCUAAUUCUCGUACCCGAUGCUUUAUAUUUUUCGACUUUCGAGCCUCUCUGGUUGAUCUGAAGAAUCCGAAUAUUUGAAUAAAUCUGAGAUAUAAUGUUUCGACUUCAAAUUCACGAAUUUUGCAACAAUGAGUGAGAAGCGGUUGACUAAACAAGCCUACACAAAAAGGUGGAAGAGAGUUCGCCGAGUGAUAGAGCUGUGCGAACUGAAUUGAGAUAAGAAAUUCCAGAACUAAGCUUGAAUGUUCCCAGCGUUGCACAGAUUAGGCUUACUAUUGAAGAGCCCAGCGUCAGGAUGGAUUCCAAUCAAGAGCAUUCCCUUUCGGUACUGCCUGAGACUGAGCCAGUGGAUAUUAAGUCUACAGAAAUUGCAAAUAACACUAGUGAUUAUCAUCUUAGUGACCCUUAUUCUUAUCUUAGAAUAAUGUUGAUAUUAGUGAAUCAUCAAGUGACUCAAGCAAUGACAAAAGCGAAAUACAAAAUUUGCUGAAGUCUUUCUUACGACAUUGUGCCUUAAAGCAUAAUAUAAAACACUCAGCACUUGAUGAUCUACUCGAUGCAUUCACAGAGUUACCUGUAACAGCAACAACACUCCUGCCGACUCCUAAAUACAUCAGAUCAACCAUGGUAUCAGGGAUGGAGUAUUUUGAAUUUGGUGUAAAGCUGAAAUAAAAAUUAAGAAUGUUGGUGUAAGUGCACUGAAUAGAGAACUUGAAACUAACAAA
rnacentral:lncRNA from 1 species